UUUUUCAGACGUUUGGUGUUAGGAAAUCAAUGGAGGGCGCCAUUGUGAGCUUGACCGAGGGCGCCGUGCGGGGGCUCCUCCGGAAGCUCGCCGGCGUGCUCGCGCAGGAGAGCUCGCCGGCGCAGCGCGUCCACGGCGAGGUGCAGUACAUCAAGGACGAGCUGGAGAGCAUGAACGCCUUCCUCCGCAGCGUCUCCACGUCGCCGGAGGACGCCGCCGGCCACGACGACCAGGUGAGGGUCUGGAUGAAGCAGGUCAGGGAGAUCGCCUACGACGCCGAGGACUGCAUCGACGUGUUCGUCCGCGGCCGCAGCCACCCCGCCGCCGCCGCCGGAGACGAAGGUCGCCUCGUGGCCUCACUCCGCCGCUUCGUCCGCCUACUGGCCGGCGCGCUAGGAGUAGGAGGAGGAGACCGCUCCGUCGCGGCCCAGCUCCGGGAACUGAAGGCCCGCGCCCGCGACGCCGGCGAGCGGCGCACGAGGUACGGGGUGUCGCUGGCGGCGGCGGCGGUCAGGGGCGGCGGCGGGUCGUCGUCGUCCGGGCGGCUCGACCCCAGGCUGCACGCGCUGUUCACGGAGGAGGCGCAGCUGGUGGGGAUCGACGGGCCGAGGGAGGAGCUCGUGGGGUGGGUGAUGGAGGAGGAGCCGCGGCUGCGGGUGCUCGCCGUCGUCGGGUUCGGCGGGCUCGGCAAGACCACGCUGGCGAGGAUGGUGUGCGGGAGCCCCCGGGUGAAGGGCGCCGCCGACUUCCAGUGCUCGCCGCCGCUCGUCGUCGUGUCGCAGACGUUCAGCAUCACGGCGCUCUUCCAGCACUUGCUCAGGGAGCUCAUCCAGCGCCCGCGCAAGGCAAUGGCCGCCGUCGCCGCCGCCGGCGGCGGCGGCGGCGACCUUGUCGCGUACGAUGCAUUGCAGGGGAUGGAGAGGUGGGAGACGGCAGCGCUCGCCAGCAAAGCUGAGGGAAUACCUGCAAGACAAAAGGUACAUUGUGAUAUUGGAUGAUAUAUGGUCUUCAUCAGCAUGGGAGAGCAUCAAAUGCGCAUUUCCAGAUAAUAAAAAGGGUAGCAGGAUCAUAGUAACCACCAGAAACGAGGAUGUCGCCAACACCUGCUGCUGCCGCCCCCAAGAUCGCAUCUACAAGAUCCAACGCCUCUCAGAUGCGGCAUCGCGGGAGCUGUUCUUCAAGAGGAUCUUUGGCAUGGCGGAUGCCGGAGCGCCAGACGACGAUGAGCUGAAACAAGUUUCAGAUUCCAUCCUGAAGAAAUGUGGAGGGCUGCCUCUAGCAAUAGUGAGCAUCGGUAGCCUCCUCGCAAGCAAGCCAAACAGGAGCAAAGAAGAGUGGCAGAAGGUUUGUGACAACUUGGGCUCUGAACUUGAGUCAAAUCCUACUCUUGAAGGCACAAAGCAGGUGUUAACUCUGAGCUACAAUGAUCUGCCCUACCAUCUGAAGGCAUGCUUCUUGUAUUUGAGUAUCUUUCCUGAAAAUCAUGUGAUCAAGAGGGGACCUUUGGUGAGAAUGUGGAUAGCUGAAGGUUUUGUCACCCAGAGGCAUGGAUUGAGCAUGGAACAGGUCGGUGAAAGAUACUUUGAUGAGUUUGUGAGCAGGAGCAUGGUUCAUCUUGUCAGAAUCGAUUGGAGUGGCAAGGUGAGAAGCUGCAAGGUUCAUGAUAUAAUGCUUGAAGUCAUCGUCUCCAAGUCACUUGAGGAAAACUUUGCAUCCUUCUUCUGUGACAAUGGAACCGAACUGGUUUCGCAUGACAAAAUCCGCCGCCUCUCCAUCCGCAGCAGUAGCUACUCAUCAGCUCAAAGAACAAGCAACAGUGUAGCUCAUGUUCGCACCUUCAGAAUGUCACCUUCAAUUGACAAUAUCCCAUUCUUCUUUCCACAAUUGCGGUUGUUAAGAGUGCUGGACAUGCAAGGCAGCCGUUGCAUGAGUAACAAGAAUUUGGACUGCAUCUGCAGAUUUUUCCAGCUCAAAUACCUAAGCCUCAGAAACACCAGUGUGUCCAUACUUCCGAGGUUAAUUGGGAAUCUGAAUCACCUGGAGACACUGGAUAUAAGAGAGACACUUAUCAAGAAGCUGCCUAGUAGUGCAGCUAACCUGACUUGCCUAAAGCAUUUGUUAGCAGGGCACAAAGAGCAACUUACAAGGACAUCCAGUGUGAAGUUUUUGAGGCCAUCCUCAGGUCUAAAGAUGAGCCAUGGAGUGAUCAGAAACAUGGCAAAGCUGCAAUCACUUGUCCAUGUAGAGAUAAAAGAACAUCCAUCAGUGUUCCAGGAGAUCGCCUUGCUGCAAAAUCUACGGAAGCUCAGUGUUCUCUUUUAUGGUAUAGAGGUAAACUGGAAGCCCUUUCUGGAGUUGUUGAAUAUGCUGAGUGGCUCUGUGCGAUCACUCUCCAUUGACAUCUUCGACGCACAAGGAAACAUCUCUAUCUCAUCACUGGAGAUGCUUUCUUCCUUAGUGUCACCUCCCAUUUUCAUCACUAGCUUCAGCCUGACUGGCAAGCUUGGUAGUCUACCUCCUUGGGUAGCAUCACUUAGAAGCGUCUCGAGGCUUACUCUUCGCAGGAGCCAACUCCGUGCUGAUGCCAUACAUGUCCUUGGAGGCCUGCAAAAUCUGCUCUGCCUGAAACUCUAUCACAAAUCAUAUGCUGAUGAUCGCCUCGUUUUUCCACAGGGAGGAUUUGCCAGGGUCAAGCUUCUGAUCGAUGAUAACCUGGUGAACCUUGAAAAGUUGCAUUUCAAUGAGGGAUCGAUGCCUAAUCUUGAGAGGCUGACAUUGUCAUUCCUGAGAGAACCCAAGGAUGGCAUCUCAGGUCUGAACAAUCUCCUGAAACUGAAGGAGGUAGAGUUCUUUGGCAACAUCGUAUCAUCUGUGGUGAGCAAAGUGGUGUCAUGUGUGAAGGAUCAUCCAAAUCAUCCGAGAGUUGUAGGUGACAAAUGGAACAUUGUGACGGUGUACAAUUGAGGUGUAAAACAGUAAAAGAAGCAUUUCAUCUGAAGCUUGCGUUUGCUUCAGUGUUCUGCAGGUUGUGGCUAGGCCUCCCCUGCUAGUUUAAACUUAUCAAAUGUACUCCUAUUUCAUAAGCACAACAUUUUGCUUGUCAACUACUUUGUUAGGUUUCUUGUGAUUGAACCUGCCUAUUCGAGUUUAAAUUUUAGGCUUGACACGAGUGCUUGUAUUUAUGGAUAUUUAUUCUUUCAGGGAUAGAUGAUAUACCCGUUAACAAUGAGACGUUUGUGGAGACUUUGUCAUUAUCAAGAUAUACAUGCCUGGUCUUUCAGGGGUGCUUAUAAAGAAUUAGAGAUAUGCUGUGUGUUUAUAAGGAUAAGUGCCCCUACCAAUAGGUGGACCCUUGUCACUGGGCUCCGUGCCAUAGCGUCCAAAAUUGGUGGGAAAUGCUAGCCAAUACAAAUGAGGUGUCCAAGAAAAGCCUGCGGACCCUAAUUCUUUUAAUAGUUUGGGAAAUCUGGAAGUAAAAAAAUCAGCAGGUUUUCGAACAAAAGGAGAUUGCGACCUUAGCCUUAUGGCAAAAAUAAAAGAGGAGGCAGGAACUUGGGCUAUGGCGGGAGCAAGGAGGAUACGGGAUUUUCUACUAAACCGUAUCUAGGCCUUAUCAGUUUUGUAUAGUUUUAUCCCUAGGGGUUGUACUUUUCCUUCUAUUUUAAUGAAAUAGUAUAGUCUCGUGUUGAUUCCUUUAAAAAGAUAAGUACACGCACGUUUCUAGGGCUACGUUUGUACUGUAUUUUUUUAAAAAAAAAUGUUCUAAAAAAAUUACCACCGUCAUUUUCCUUUCACCUAAGGAUAGCAUAUGAGCAUGACUUAAACAAAAGUAGAAAACACACAUCCGUGCUUGGAAGGCGUAUUUCUGUAUCACGUGGGGGAGGCACACGCCUAUGAAGUUCGGUGACGCCUUAUGAAUGUACGCGUCCUUACUGUCUCUUUCGGAAAAGAGAGAGAGAGAGAGAGAGAGCCGCAGCCGCAGCCCUCCGCGCCGGCGAUGGCGGCGGCGGAGGACGUGCCGGGUAGAGAUUCCGGCCGGAUGCGCAUGCGCAUGCGCAGAAGAUUCAAGGGAGCCGGGUGAAGCACGGAUCGUGGUGGUGGCUAAUCGAAGAGCGCGCGCGGGUGGGCGGCUCUGUGCUUCAUGUGUUCGAUGAAAUGCGUCACCCAGCUAGUCUACGAGAAGGGCCUGACUAGGUAGCGGCGGCGAGCAGCUGGCCCUGAAUGUUUCGCAAGGGAGAGAUCAGAGAUGUCGCAGGUGUAACAACCAAGCUCUCCUAGGUCUUGCUCGACUCGGCCCCCGCUGAAGUGCUUCACAAUCCAAGGACUGGAUAUGCUGUGGCUCGGUUUCAUCUUUUAUGCAAAUCUUUAAGGGGAAAAA